AUUUAGAUUUCAAUUAAACUAGUUACGAAGAGUGAAGUUUGGAAAAUUAUUUUUUUUACUCGUUGACCUUUUGAGGUCAUAAGUAACGUUUUCGAAUCGGUCUUGAAGCCACGUGAGCAUAGGCGAAAGCUGUUUAUGAGUCCGAAUUAUAGCGGUAUAGUUAUGGACGUUUGAAGUGGUGAUACUAUAGAUUUUAAGAUUUAAUUAUCUCCCACUUUGUGGGUAAGAGGCCCAGAUCAAUAUGGGGUUAAGGGGACCAUCGGAAAUGAAAAAAAAAAAAAAAAAAAAAGAGGGGAAACAACGAAUGAGGAGGAAAAGGAAAAGAAAAAGGGAAAAAGAAACAAAAAAAAGGAAGAAACCUCCCUUCCCGUCUGUGCACCCGCGCCCCCAUCUGAGCAAAUUUCGGCGAUUUUCGUCAUCUUUUCCGUUGAACCACUACCAUACAACACCUGCAAUUUCUUCUACAACAUCCCUUCUACUAUUUCCACCCAAGAUUGUGGGUUUUUAGGUCAAAAAUCGUGAAGAACUGUGCGAGGAAACCGGAGGUGUUUGACGGCGAUUCCACCGUUCCGGUGAGUUUCACCACCCACCACCACCCUUAGUCAACUUCCCUUGGACCCAGAAACAAGACCCGAUAGGUUGUAGGGGUGUUGGAACACCAAGGAAGUCGAAUUGAAGAACACCCACCUUAGGAUUCCGGCGGUUCGUGGCCAGUUUGGGGUGUUUUUCGGCCAAAUUGGCCUUAGCAGCAGUGGUUCAUGGAUGGUCCUGCUUGGUAUAUCCGCAAUGGGGGACCAUAUGUAUUCAAAGGUGAUCAUGCUUGGUAUAUCCGCGAUGGGUGAUCAUUGCCUGCACGAUGAGUUUAUGCCCUAUGGUCCUACUUGGUAUAUCCGCGAUGGGGGACUAUACGCAUUCUAGAGGUGAUGAUGAUUAGUUGUACAUGGUAUAUUUUUAGGCGAUCAUAUUUGGUUUGGUUCCGUUGAGUGGUUUGGAACCCGAGGUUGUUGAAUUUCAUGGAGUGGCCUAAAAUCCUUUGUUUGGAGAAGUAGGCGUGGCCUAACCGUGUCACUCUAGCCUUAGUUAUAUAUAUAUAUAUAUAUAUAUUUUUUUUUUUUGUGACAAUGGUUUCGGGAGUCUUGUGAAUUGAGUUAGAAAAGAUGUUGGACGUCUGAGUGAUUCCUUCGGGAUUUCUAUGAUUCGAUUAUGAUUUCAUAAGGUAUGAAUUUAGAAGAUAUGAGAAUGACUGUUUUACUUUGAUCAAAUUAAUUAAUUAAUGUGGCUAGAGGAUGGUUUUGUGUUAGUCGGCUCUUAAAUAUGAUGUGCGUUGUGAAUUGCGAUAUCAUGAUGAGACAUGAUUUAUAUGUUGGAUGGGAGAGAUAUCAUGUUUUCAUGGGGAUUGGUUAUGUAGCCGAGUCUCCGAAUUACAUGUUGUCAGGUUAUAUUGAAUGAUUGAGGAAUACUUUGCUUUUCUGCUUGAACUUAGUGGAAUAAACGUUUGAUUUUGUGA